GACGAACGCUGGCGGCGUGCCUAAUACAUGCAAGUAGAACGCUGAAGGAGGAGCUUGCUCUUCUUGGAUGAGUUGCGAACGGGUGAGUAACGCGUAGGUAACCUGCCUGGUAGCGGGGGAUAACUAUUGGAAACGAUAGCUAAUACCGCAUAAUAGUAGAUGUUGCAUGACAUUUGCUUAAAAGGUGCAAUUGCAUCACUACCAGAUGGACCUGCGUUGUAUUAGCUAGUUGGUGAGGUAACGGCUCACCAAGGCAACGAUACAUAGCCGACCUGAGAGGGUGAUCGGCCACACUGGGACUGAGACACGGCCCAGACUCCUACGGGAGGCAGCAGUAGGGAAUCUUCGGCAAUGGACGGGAGUCUGACCGAGCAACGCCGCGUGAGUGAAGAAGGGUUUCGGAUCGUAAAGCUCUGUUGUAAGAGAAGAACGAGUGUGAGAGUGGAAAGUUCACACUGUGACGGUAUCUUACCAGAAAGGGACGGCUAACUACGUG
rnacentral:rRNA from 1 species